UCCCUGGUGGCUCAGACGGUAAAGCAUCUGCCUGUCGUGCGGGAGACCCGGGUUCGAUCCCUGGGAGGGGAA
rnacentral:tRNA from 1 species